rnacentral:rRNA from 1 species
UACAGAGGGUGCGAGCGUUGUCCGGAAUCACUGGGCGUAAAGGGCGCGUAGGUGGCGAGCCAAGUCCAUGGUGAAAGCUCGAUGCUCAACAUCGAGUCGGCCACGGAUACUGGUGCGCUUGAGCACUGUAGAGGCUAAUGGAAUUCCGGGUGUAGCGGUGGAAUGCGCAGAGAUCCGGAAGAACACCGGUGGCGAAGGCGGUUAGCUGGGCAGUUGCUGACACUGAGGCGCGACAGCGUGGGGAGCAAACAGG